GACGACCGCUGGCGGCGUGCUUAACACUUGAAAGUCAAACGAAGUGGCGAACGGGUGAGUAAUACGUGGGUAACCUGCCCUCCUUUUUGGGAUAAGCCUUGGAAACGGGGUCUAAUACCGAAUAAAGGGGGAUGGGCUCGCGGCCUUUCAGCUUGUUGGUGGGGUGAUGGCCUACCAAGGCUGUGACGGGUAGCCGGAGUGGGAAGCGCACCGACCACGUGGGGUCUUUGAUACGGCGCAGACUUCUAUGGGAGGCAGCAGUGGGGGAGUUUGCACAAUGCGCGACAUCCUGAUGCACCGACGCCGCGUGGGGGAUGAGGGCUUUCGGGUUGUAAAGCUAUUUCGCUAUCGAACGGGUAGGUGGAGAAGAAGCGCCGGCUAACUACGUACCAGCAGCCGCGGUAAUAC
rnacentral:rRNA from 1 species